CUAUCUGCCAAAUCUUUGUAUUCUUGCUGCUGAGAAUAAUGUGCAAUUUUAGGUACCUGAGAAUGCAAAUUAACUAAAUGUUUCAGAACUGAUUGUUUCAGAAUAGUUAGCCUCUCUGUUUUUGUUUCAUGAUGCAUCUGAUUUUUCUUUUGCUUACAGGAAAUCAUCUAUGGCUAUCUAUGAUGUCUGCAUAUUUGGACAGGUGCUUCCAGAACUGGCAUCAUACACCAAUUCUAGCAUACGAAAUGGAGGUGGUGCAGCAGAUAGUCACAUACCUUUGACUAGCCAAAAGCACUUUUAUCACCAGGUUUCUUUCUUCAUUUUGUUCUUCCUGCUGAUAGAUCUGAGAUCUGGGUUUCAAUUUGAGGAUCAUCCAUUUUUUGCUAACAGAUCUGUGAUCUCUCUAUGGAAGAGAGAGAACUAAACCCUGGGGAUUGGAGGAGAAGUACGCACUGAGAGAGAAUCGUCAGCACAAAUUGAUCAGAAUUAUCAUAAGACAGGAGGAGAUCUGAGGUCUAUUUCCCCUUACCAUGGUGGCGGCUGGAUGGGAGACGAGGAAGAAAGCAGAGUCACA
rnacentral:lncRNA from 1 species